rnacentral:rRNA from 1 species
UUGGAGGGCAAGUCUGGUGCCAGCAGCCGCGGUAAUUCCAGCUCCAAUAGCGUAUAUUAAAGUUGUUGCAGUUAAAAAGCUCGUAGUUGAAUUUCGGGAUUAAUUUAUUGGUCGUGCUAUUGUACGUACUGGUAUUAUUGAUUCCUACCUUCUGACGAACCACGAUGUCAUUAAUUUGGUGUCAUGGGGAAUCAGGACUGUUACUUUGAAAAAAUUAGAGUGUUUAAAGCAGGCUCACGCUUGAAUACAUUAGCUUGGAAUAACGAAAUAGGACGUUUGAUUCUAUUUUGUUGGUUUCUAGGAUCGACGUAAUGAUUAAUAGGGAUAGUUGGGGGCAUUAGUAUUCAAUUGUCGGAGGUGAAAUUCUUGGAUUUAUUGAAGACUAACUACUGCGAAAGCAUUUGCCAAGGAUGUUUUCAUUAAUCAAGAACGAAAGUUAGGGGAUCGAAGACGAUCAGAUACCGUCGUAGUCUUAGCCAUAAACUAUGCCGACUAGGGAUCGGAUGAUGUUAAUUUUUUAAUGACUCAUUCGGCGCCUUACGGGAAACCAAAGUGUUUGGGUUC